GAUGCUGUAGCUCAGGGACAGAGCAUUUGCUUUGCAUGCAGAAGGUUCUGGGUUCGAUCCCCACUGCUAGUCA
rnacentral:tRNA from 1 species